rnacentral:rRNA from 1 species
UUUCGCAAUGCCCGAAAGGGUGACGAAGCGACGCCGCGUGGGUGAGGAAGGCCCUCGGGUUGUAAAGCCCUGUCAGGAGUUAAGAAAUGUAAGUGCGCUAAUAUCGCAUUUAUUUGACGAAGGCUCCAAAGGAAGCCACGGCUAACUCUGUGCCAGCAGCCGCGGUAAUACAGAGGUGGCAAGCGUUGUUCGGAAUUAUUGGGCGUAAAGAGCACGUAGGUGGGUUUGUAAGUCAGAUGUGAAAGCCUUCUGUUCAACGGAAGAAUUGCAUCUGAAACUACAAGUCUUGAGUGUAGGAGGGGAGAAUGGAACUUCUGGUGGAGCGGUGAAAUGCGUAGAUAUCAGAAGGAACGCCGGCGGCGAAAGCGAUUCUCUGGCCUAUUACUGACACUCAGUGUGCGAAAGCUAGGGGAGCAAACGGGAUUAGAUACCCCGGUAGUCCUAGCCGUAAACGAUGGGCACUAAGUAGAGGGGUUUUAA